UUUGCUUCUUGGCCUUUUGGCUAAGAUCAAGUAUAGUCUCUGUUCUUAUCAGUUUAAUUUUUGUUUCUCAUUAUUAAAAUAUAAUCUAUAUGAGAAAUUUCUUUUUUUUUCUCUGCCAUAUAGGACCUAGAUUAGAACCUGGCAUUAGGUGAGUGCAU
rnacentral:snRNA from 1 species